GUUCAACUGCCCAGCCUGUAUUUUCACAGUACAUGUUGCAUUAGUCUUACAUGCUGCUGCUGGUCGUCAGUCGUCAUCAGUGUUAAUGGAUCAGUGGCCCUGUCGUUUGCCUGCUGUAUUCGAGUCCACGAUGUUCUAUCUGUCUUCAUCAGGUGAUUAACUGUCUUUUGUGUCUUCUCGGGGUGAAGGACAAAGUAAGAGCUCAAGCUGCACAAUUUCGAGCCAAAGACUGGCUUAUUUUCUCCCAAUUCUUUUAAUCUACUUUUCUGCUGCUGAACUCAAGGUUGCAAAGUUGAAAGACGCCCACCUGUAUUGACACACUAAACCAUAUAAUUAGUAAUAUAUGCAUUUUUCUUAAAGGCUUCAUUUGCUUCAUGUGCCUAGAGUUAAAUCUCUCUCUCUGUGUUCUUUCUGUACACACUCAGUUCCCAUAUAUGGGCAUGCACAGUUCCUGUUCACUAUUUCCUGUCGCUGCAGCCCCGGUAGACAGAGCAAUAUUUCCUGUUCCUCAAACUAAUCUAACUCCUUUGUUUUUUGUUUUCUUGAAUUAAAAACACUUUCAAACUUUAGCACAUCCUACUUUUCAUCACACAAGAAAUAUAUUCCACACUCCUUUAUUCCAUACACACCUUUUAAAUGCUCUAACCUCUUUCAGACGCCAUAAAUCGUCUCACACGCACUGCCUUUCUCUCUCUCAAACUUCCCCUUUUCACUUACUCAGAGAAAUCACCCAGUCACUCAAAUCAAAUACUGACAGCAUUCACACAGUUAAAAUCACACAAAAUACGCUUUCAUACGAGUAUUUUGGACAUGCCUUCCAUGAUCAGAAAGAGCAAGUCAAAAGAAAAAAGAAAAAGAAAACUGAAACCUCUCAUAACAUCACUGAAGGUCAAAUAUCUUCAUAGACCCAAAAGUAAGCAUAUUAUUUCCCUAGUCAAAAGUCAAACCGUUACUCACAGUAAUUUUUAAUCUCACAGCCUUUGUGUUUUGAAACUAAAAAGAGGAAGGAACAGCGCCCAAUUUAAACUGCGCAUGUUGUCACUCAACGACACACACACAGAAAAUGUAACUGUAUAUAUUAUCUCAAACUGAAACAGAACCCAUCUAAAAAUCCUAAAACAUCUUACUUCGACACCCCAAAACACACAUCGCUUACAGACAUCUUUAUUAAUUAAAUUAUCUCAAAUUCAAUUUCACUUCUCAGAACCCAGGUAACGGUCUUAAGUAUCAACAGUUUAUGUAUCCUAUCUCAAAACCC
ensembl:lncRNA